AUUGAACGCUGGUGGCAGGCCUAACACAUGCAAGUCGAGCGGAUGAAGGGAGCUUGCUCCUGGAUUCAGCGGCGGACGGGUGAGUAAUGCCUAGGAAUCUGCCUGGUAGUGGGGGAUAACGUCCGGAAACGGGCGCUAAUACCGCAUACGUCCUGAGGGAGAAAGUGGGGGAUCUUCGGACCUCACGCUAUCAGAUGAGCCUAGGUCGGAUCAGCUAGUUGGUGGGGUAAAGGCCUACCAAGGCGACGAUCCGUAACUGGUCUGAGAGGAUGAUCAGUCACACUGGAACUGAGACACGGUCCAGACUCCUACGGGAGGAAGCAGUGGGGAAUAUUGGACAAUGGGCGAAAGCCUGAUCCAGCCAUGCCGCGUGUGUGAAGAAGGUCUUCGGAUUGUAAAGCACUUUAAGUUGGGAGGAAGGGCAGUAAGUUAAUACCUUGCUGUUUUGACGUUACCAACAGAAUAAGCACCGGCUAACUUCGUG
rnacentral:rRNA from 1 species